rnacentral:rRNA from 1 species
UGGGGAAUCUUGGACAAUGGGGGCAACCCUGAUCCAGCCAUGCCGCGUGAGUGAUGAAGGCCUUAGGGUCGUAAAGCUCUUUCGCCUGUGAAGAUAAUGACGGUAGCAGGUAAAGAAACCCCGGCUAACUCCGUGCCAGCAGCCGCGGUAAUACGGAGGGGGUUAGCGUUGUUCGGAAUUACUGGGCGUAAAGCGCACGUAGGCGGACCAGAAAGUUGGGGGAUGAAAUCCCGGGGGCUCAACCCCGGAACUGCCUCCAAAACUAUUGGUCUAGAGUUCGAGAGAGGUGAGUGGAAUUCCAAGUGUAGAGGUGAAAUUCGUAGAUAUUUGGAGGAACACCAGUGGCGAAGGCGGCUCACUGGCUCGAUACUGACGCUGAGGUGCGAAAGUGUGGGGAGCAAACAGGAUUAGAUACCCUGGUAGUCCACACCGUAAAACGAUGAAUGCCAGUCGUCGGGUAGCAUGCUAUUCGGUGACACACCUAACGGAUUAAGCAUUCCGG